GCUGGUGGGCGGAGAGCACAACCUUGCCAAGGUUGGGGUCGCGGGUUCGAGUCCCGUUUCCCGCU
rnacentral:tRNA from 1 species